rnacentral:rRNA from 1 species
AGGUAAGCUACUAAGAGCGAAUGGUGGAUGCCUUGACUGGUAAAGGCGAUGAAGGACGUACUAGACUGCGAUAAGCUACGGGGAGCUGUCAAGAAGCUUUGAUCCGUAGAUUUCCGAAUGGGGCAACCCAAUGUAUAGAGAUAUACAUUACCUAUAUAGGAGCGAACGAGGGGAAUUGAAACAUCUUAGUACCCUCAGGAAAAGAAAUCAAUAGAGAUUGCGUCAGUAGCGGCGAGCGAAAGCGCAAGAGGGCAAACCCAGUGCUUGCACUGGGGGUUGUAGGACUGCAAUGUGCAAGAGGUAAGUUUAGCAGAACAUUCUGGAAAGUAUAACCAUAGAGGGUGAUAGUCCCGUAUGCGAAAAACAAACCUUAGCUAGCAGUAUCCUGAGUAGGGCGGGACACGAGGAAUCCUGUCUGAAUCCGGGUCGACCACGAUCCAACCCUAAAUACUAAUACCAGAUCGAUAGUGCACAAGUACCGUGAGGGAAAGGUGAAAAGAACUGAGGUGAUCAGAGUGAAAUAGAACCUGAAACCAUUUGCUUACAAUCAUUCAGAGCCCUAUGUAGCAAUACAGGGUGAUGGACUGCCUUUUGCAUAAUGAGCCUGCGAGUUGUGGUGUCUGGCAAGGUUAAGCAAACGCGAAGCCGUAGCGAAAGCGAGUCUGAAUAGGGCGCUUAGUCAGAUGCUGCAGACCCGAAACGAAGUGAUCUAUCCAUGAGCAAGUUGAAGCUAGUGUAAGAACUAGUGGAGGACUGAACCCAUAGGCGUUGAAAAGCCCCGGGAUGACUUGUGGAUAGGGGUGAAAGGCCAAUCAAACUUCGUGAUAGCUGGUUCUCUCCGAAAUAUAUUUAGGUAUAGCGUUGUGUCGUAAUAUAAGGGGGUAGAGCACUGAAUGGGCUAGGGCAUACACCAAUGUACCAAACCCUAUCAAACUCCGAAUACCUUAUAUGUAAUCACAGCAGUCAGGCGGCGAGUGAUAAAAUCCGUCGUCAAGAGGGAAACAACCCAGACUACCAGCUAAGGUCCCUAAAUCUUACUUAAGUGGAAAACGAUGUGAAGUUACUUAAACAACCAGGAGGUUGGCUUAGAAGCAGCCAUCCUUUAAAGAAAGCGUAAUAGCUCACUGGUCUAGUGAUUUUGCGCGGAAAAUAUAACGGGGCUAAAGUAAGUACCGAAGCUGUAGACUUAGUUUACUAAGUGGUAGGAGAGCGUUCUAUUUGCGUCGAAGGUAUACCGGUAAGGAGUGCUGGAGCGAAUAGAAGUGAGCAUGCAGGCAUGAGUAGCGAUAAUUAAUGUGAGAAUCAUUAACGCCGUAAACCCAAGGUUUCCUACGCAAUGCUCGUCAUCGUAGGGUUAGUCGGGUCCUAAGUCGAGUCCGAAAGGGGUAGACGAUGGCAAAUUGGUUAAUAUUCCAAUACCAACAUUAGUGUGCGAUGGAAGGACGCUUAGGGCUAAGGGGGCUAGCGGAUGGAAGUGCUAGUCUAAGGUCGUAGGAGGUUAUACAGGCAAAUCCGUAUAACAAUACUCCGAGAACUGAAAGGCUUUUUGAAGUCUUCGGAUGGAUAGAAGAACCCCUGAUGCCGUCGAGCCAAGAAAAGUUUCUAAGUUUAGCUAAUGUUGCCCGUACCGUAAACCGACACAGGUGGGUGGGAUGAGUAUUCUAAGGCGCGUGGAAGAACUCUCUUUAAGGAACUCUGCAAAAUAGCACCGUAUCUUCGGUAUAAGGUGUGGUUAGCUUUGUAUUAGGAUUUACUCCGAAAGCAAGGAAACUUACAACAAAGAGUCCCUCCCGACUGUUUACCAAAAACACAGCACUCUGCUAACUCGUAAGAGGAUGUAUAGGGUGUGACGCCUGCCCGGUGCUCGAAGGUUAAUUGAUGGGGUUAGCAUUAGCGAAGCUCUUGAUCGAAGCCCGAGUAAACGGCGGCCGUAACUAUAACGGUCCUAAGGUAGCGAAAUUCCUUGUCGGUUAAAUACCGACCUGCAUGAAUGGCGUAACGAGAUGGGAGCUGUCUCAAAGAGGGAUCCAGUGAAAUUGUAGUGGAGGUGAAAAUUCCUCCUACCCGCGGCAAGACGGAAAGACCCCGUGGACCUUUACUACAGCUUGACACUGCUACUUGGAUAAGAAUGUGCAGGAUAGGUGG